rfam:Eremothecium cymbalariae DBVPG#7215 chromosome 3, complete sequence.
GGCAACAUGGCCGAGUGGUUAAGGCGACAGACUUGAAAUCUGUUGGGCUUUGCCCGCGCUGGUUCUAAUCCUGCUGUUGUCG